UUCGGCGCGUGCAAGCCCUCCAGCACCACCUUCACCUUGCCGUACACAUCGUCCGGAGCCGCCACAGCGCUGAUCACGUGGCACUUGCCCUGCGUAAGGUAGUGGUCCUUCACAGGCAGCGACUGAUCCAGGAAGGUGCGGAAGCGCUUGCGAAUGGUGUCGGCGUUGUCGUCGCUGCGGCCGCUGGUCUCCCCGCGCUUCAGCAGGCGCUUCUCCAUCUCCUCCUCCGGGCAGUCGAAGAACAGCACCGUCUUGCACGGCAUGAUGCUGCUCUCAAACUGCGCCGCCUGGUCCAGCGCGCGCGGAAAGCCGUCGAUGAGGAAGAACUUGCCGCCGCUGGCUAUCAUGUCCCGCUUCAGCAGGUUAAGCGUGACAGCCACCGGCACGAGCUUGCCCUCCUUCAUCAGCGCCUCGCACUUCUGGCCGACCUCGCUGCCGCUCUUCACCUCAGCGCGCAGCAGGUCGCCGGCGCUGAGGUGCACGCACUCGUAGUCGGCCUUAAUCUUGUCGCAUUGCGUCCCCUUGCCGCUGCCGGGGCCGCCGAGCACGAACACGAUCUGGGCGUCGGCAGGCAGGUUGCCGGGCACAGGUGGCAGCGCGAUGUCCUGCAUAAAAGCAACCAAGGGAACAAACGUGCAAUCAUAAGGUGUUGGCUGUGGCGCCGACCAUGACCCAGUGCCCUUGUACACAAAGCAAUGGGGCGUGCCGUACGCGCCGCACACACAGAACAGCGGUUUGGUGGCUGGAAACAUAAGAUGCGGCACGGUAUCCCUAUCUGCAGGUCGGCUUCUCAAGUGUUCAACUUAGGCAAGACGCACCUCCGAAGCAGCCGGGGCCGCUGCAAGUGCCGUCGCCGCUGCGCUCGCCUUCUUCGGCGCGUGCAAGCCCUCCAGCACCACCUUCACCUUGCCGUACACAUCGUCCGGAGCCGCCACAGCGCUGAUCACGUGGCACUUGCCCUGCGUAAGGUAGUGGUCCUUCACGGGCAGCGACUGAUCCAGGAAGGUGUGGAAGCGCUUGCGAAUGGUGUCGGCGUUGUCGUCGCUGCGGCCGCUGGUCUCCCCGCGCUUCAGCAGGCGCUUCUCCAUCUCCUCCUCCGGGCAGUCAAAGAACAGCACCGUCUUGCACGGCAUGAUGCUGCUCUCAAACUGCUCCGCCUGGUCCAGCGCGCGUGGAAAGCCGUCGAUGAGGAAGAACUUGCCGCCGCUGGCUAUCAUGUCCCGCUUCAGCAGGUUGAGCGUGACAGCCACCGGCACGAGCUUGCCCUCCUUCAUCAGCGCCUCGCACUUCUGGCCAACCUCGCUGCCGCUCUUCACCUCAGCGCGCAGCAGGUCGCCGGCGCUGAGGUGCACGCACUCAUACUCCUCCUUGAUCUGAUCGCAUUGCGUGCCCUUGCCGCUGCCGGGGCCGCCGAGCACGAACACGAUCUGGGCGUCGGCAGGCAGGCUGCCGGGCACGGGCGGCAGCGCAAACUCCUGCAUAGGGACGAAAAUGCAAUGGAAAUCAGCAAGCCGAGAUUAAUAAUCAGUGGAAACUUACGCAUCAGUACACUUGCACUUCAGUACGCAUCCUACUACCGGGAGGAUACGGUAAGGCAGGCAGGCAGAGGCCAUCGAUUUCACGCUUGCCCCAGCUUUCCGUACGAUGUACCGUAUGCUAGGUUGCUUGACCGGAACCCGUGCAAGACGCACACGGAUAUACCACCGGUGAACAGCCAUGACCGCUCACCUCCAAAGCAGCCGCAGCAGGAGUAGCCGAAACUGUCGCAGUCACGCCCGCCUUCUUCGGCGCGUGCAAGCCCUCCAGCACCACCUUCACCUUGCCGUACACAUCGUCCGGAGCCGCCACAGCGCUGAUCACGUGGCACUUGCCCUGCGUAAGGUAGUGGUCCUUCACAGGCAGCGACUGAUCCAGGAAGGUGCGGAAGCGCUUGCGAAUGGUGUCGGCGUUGUCGUCGCUGCGGCCGCUGGUCUCCCCGCGCUUCAGCAGGCGCUUCUCCAUCUCCUCCUCCGGGCAGUCGAAGAACAGCACCGUCUUGCACGGCAUGAUGCUGCUCUCAAACUGCGCCGCCUGGUCCAGCGCGCGCGGAAAGCCGUCGAUGAGGAAGAACUUGCCGCCGCUGGCUAUCAUGUCCCGCUUCAGCAGGUUAAGCGUGACAGCCACCGGCACGAGCUUGCCCUCCUUCAUCAGCGCCUCGCACUUCUGGCCGACCUCGCUGCCGCUCUUCACCUCAGCGCGCAGCAGGUCGCCGGCGCUGAGGUGCACGCACUCGUAGUCGGCCUUAAUCUUGUCGCAUUGCGUCCCCUUGCCGCUGCCGGGGCCGCCGAGCACGAACACGAUCUGGGCGUCGGCAGGCAGGUUGCCGGGCACAGGUGGCAGCGCGAUGUCCUGCAUAAAAGCAACCAAGGGAACAAACGUGCAAUCAUAAGGUGUUGGCUGUGGCGCCGACCAUGACCCAGUGCCCUUGUACACAAAGCAAUGGGGCGUGCCGUACGCGCCGCACACACAGAACAGCGGUUUGGUGGCUGGAAACAUAAGAUGCGGCACGGUAUCCCUAUCUGCAGGUCGGCUUCUCAAGUGUUCAACUUAGGCAAGACGCACCUCCGAAGCAGCCGGGGCCGCUGCAAGUGCCGUCGCCGCUGCGCUCGCCUUCUUCGGCGCGUGCAAGCCCUCCAGCACCACCUUCACCUUGCCGUACACAUCGUCCGGAGCCGCCACAGCGCUGAUCACGUGGCACUUGCCCUGCGUAAGGUAGUGGUCCUUCACGGGCAGCGACUGAUCCAGGAAGGUGUGGAAGCGCUUGCGAAUGGUGUCGGCGUUGUCGUCGCUGCGGCCGCUGGUCUCCCCGCGCUUCAGCAGGCGCUUCUCCAUCUCCUCCUCCGGGCAGUCAAAGAACAGCACCGUCUUGCACGGCAUGAUGCUGUUCUCAAACUGCGCCGCCUGGUCCAGCGCGCGCGGAAAGCCGUCGAUGAGGAAGAACUUGCCGCCGCUGGCUAUCAUGUCCCGCUUCAGCAG
rnacentral:lncRNA from 1 species